rnacentral:rRNA from 1 species
GAUGAACGCUGGCGGCGUGCCUAAUACAUGCAAGUCGAGCGAAUGGAUUAAGAGCUUGCUCUUAUGAAGUUAGCGGCGGACGGGUGAGUAACACGUGGGUAACCUGCCCAUAAGACUGGGAUAACUCCGGGAAACCGGGGCUAAUACCGGAUAACAUUUUGAACCGCAUGGUUUGAAAUUGAAAGGCGGCUUCGGCUGUCACUUAUGGAUGGACCCGCGUCGCAUUAGCUAGUUGGGGAGGUAACGGCUCACCAAGGAAACGAUGCGUAGCCGACCUGAGAGGGUGAUCGGCCACACUGGGACUGAGACACGGCCCAGACUCCUACGGGAGGCAGCAGUAGGGAAUCUUCCGCAAUGGACGACAGUCUGACGGAGCAACGCCGCGUGAGUGAAGAAGGCUUUCGGGUCGUAAAACUCUGUUGUUAGGGAAGAACAAGUGCUAGUUGAAUAAGCUGGCACCUUGACGGUACCUAACCAGAAAGCCACGGCUAACUACGUGCCAGCAGCCGCGGUAA